UACGUAGGGGGCAAGCGUUGUCCGGAAUCAUUGGGCGUAAAGCGCGUGUAGGCGGCUCGGUAAGUCUGCUGUUAAAGUCCAGGGCUCAACCCUGGAAAGCGGGUGGAUACUGCCGGGCUAGAAUCCGGAAGAGGCGAGUGGAAUUCCUGGUGUAGCGGUGGAAUGCGCAGAUAUCAGGAGGAACACCAAUAGCGAAGGCAGCUCGCUGGGACGGUAUUGACGCUAAGGCGCGAAAGCGUGGGGGAGCAAACAGG
rnacentral:rRNA from 1 species